AAGGGAGACCUAAUUCAGGUAGGAGACGAAAAAAAAGUAGUCCCAACCAAGAAUCAAUCCCAAAAGGUCGGAGCGAGGCGAAAUCGGCUUUCAAACUAGGUUCUGGGUUCACACAAGACCUGAAUCAGGAACAAGGGCUAUUAGCUCAGGUGGUUAGAGCGCACCCCUGAUAAGGGUGAGGUCCCUGGUUCGAGUCCAGGAUGGCCCACCUGCACAGGUGGCAAAAACAAGAGAAGCGAGGAAUCAGCACCUUAUCUUAUCUAUAUAUAUAUAGGAGAGAAUGCUGGCUCUGAGUAAAGAGUCCAGAGGAACCUUGAAAACUGCAUAGAGCUAGGUGAAAAAGCCAAAAAAGAAGACCGCAA
rnacentral:tRNA from 1 species